CAGCAGCCGCGGUAAUACAGAGGGUGCGAGCGUUAAUCGGAUUACUGGGCGUAAAGCGUGCGUAGGCGGCUUCUUAAGUCGGAUGUGAAAUCCCUGAGCUUAACUUAGGAAUUGCAUUCGAUACUGGGAAGCUAGAGUAUGGGAGAGGAUGGUAGAAUUCCAGGUGUAGCGGUGAAAUGCGUAGAGAUCUGGAGGAAUACCGAUGGCGAAGGCAGCCAUCUGGCCUAAUACUGACGCUGAGGUACGAAAGCAUGGGGAGCAAACAGGAUUAGAUACCCGAGUAGUCCCUGUCUCUUAUACA
rnacentral:rRNA from 1 species